GACAUGGCUCAGGAUGAACGCUGGCGGCAUGCCUAAUACAUGCAAGUCGAACGAGAGGAAGGAAAGCUUGCUUUUCUGAAUCUAGUGGCGAACGGGUGAGUAACACGUAGGUAACCUGCCCAUGUGCCCGGGAUAACUUCUGGAAACGGAUGCUAAAACCGGAUAGGUAGCAGACAAGCAUUUGACUGCUAUUAAAGUGGCCUUGGCCAUGAACAUGGAUGGACCUGCGGUGCA
rnacentral:rRNA from 1 species